rnacentral:rRNA from 1 species
GGAGUCUGGGCCGUGUCUCAGUCCCAAUGUGGCCGUUCAACCUCUCAGUCCGGCUACUGAUCGUCGACUUGGUGAGCCGUUACCUCACCAACUAUCUAAUCAGACGCGAGCUCAUCUUUCAGCGAUAAAUCUUUGAUAACAAAGCCAUGCGGCUUCGUUAUGUCAUAGGGUAUUACCAUCCGUUUCCAGAAGCUAUCCCCCUCUCAGAGGCAGGUUGCUCACGUGUUACUCACCCGUCCGCCACUAAGAUACCUCAGUAAACCAAAAUAUCUCCGUUCGACUUGCAUGUGUUAAGCGUGCCGCCAGCGUUCGUCCUCGUAGCCACUGAUCAAACUACU